rnacentral:rRNA from 2 species
UUGACCUCGGAUCAGGUAGGGAUACCCGCUGAGCUUAA